rnacentral:rRNA from 1 species
UAAUACGGAGGGGGCCAGCGUUGUUCGGAAUUAUUGGGCGUAAAGGGCGCGUAGGCGGUCGGGUAAGUCUGACGUGAAACCCCUUGGCUCAACCAAGGAACUGCGUCUUAAACUGCCCGGCUUGAGUCCGGGAGAGGGUAGUGGAAUUCCCAGUGUAGCGGUGAAAUGCGUAGAUAUUGGGAGGAACACCGGUGGCGAAGGCGGCUACCUGGACCGGUACUGACGCUGAGGCGCGAAAGCUAGGGUAGCAAACAG